rnacentral:lncRNA from 1 species
UUUUAAGCCUCCUGGUUUGUGUUACUUUGUUGUGGCAGCCCCAGGGACUCUGAGUUGAUAUUCUGUCAAAUACACAGCAGAAAUUCGCCUUUCCUGAUCACAUCACACUGAUUCCGGGACCAAGCAGGAUGUCACAGGUGGGGGUCAAGCCAGGCUUGAGAAGAUGGGCCGGGCUGGGCCUCAGCCUCUCAUGGGCUUCUGUGGGUCAUGGCCUUGGCGUUCCUCCAGCCCUGGCUAAUGCAGUCUUCUGUGGAGGAAUGGCAUCCCAGGCCUUCACCCCUCCAGGUCAGCCGUGGCUGCCGGCCAAGAUGGCCGCGUGGGCAGCCUCACAUUCCUUCUCGGCUUUUGGCCCCAUGUCCUCGGCACUCAGGUCUGCAGUUCAGCCCAAGUGUUGAGACUCAGGUAUGCAGCUCAGGGCGGCCUUAAUUAACCCUCCCAUGGGCCUGGGCACCGCCUGCGCCUCAUCAACUCUGGGCUGCUGGUUUUGUUCCUGACGCUGCAGCCUGACACUGUGGGCGGGGGUGCAGUUUGCGAUGGAAGGCUGCCUCCGAAUCGAGGAAGCCUUGACCUUGGGAGGGGCCUGCCUUUUCGCUGGGCUUGCCUUUCUCUGGGCAGCGUUCGCUCAGCACUUCAGUGCGGCCGAUUCCCCUGGGACUGAAUUCACACCAGCCACGACGACUUCCCGGCUACUUCACGUUCUCUAUGUUUGCAGCUGUUCUUUGGUGGCAGAAAAAGAUGAUUUUUCUUCCCCCCACUCCCAUUCCCUUUUGUUAGUUUCUCUCCCUGAACCACAUUUUGAGCUGAGUGAAGGUCUCAGGUUGGCCUUUAGAGGGAGU